CCUUUGGGGGUACUCGAGUGGCGAACGGGUGAGUAACACGUGAGUAACCUGCCCUUGACUUCGGGAUAACUUCAGGAAACUGGGGCUAAUACCGGAUAGGAAUCCUUGCUGCAUGGUGGGGGUUGGAAAGCUUCGGCGGUUUUGGAUGGACUCGCGGCUUAUCAGCUUGUUGGUGGGGUAGUGGCUUACCAAGGCUUUGACGGGUAGCCGGCCUGAGAGGGCGACCGGCCACAUUGGGACUGAGAUACGGCCCAG
rnacentral:rRNA from 1 species